rnacentral:rRNA from 1 species
UACGAAGGGGGCUAGCGUUGCUCGGAAUCACUGGGCGUAAAGCGCACGUAGGCGGAUCGCUAAGUCAGGGGUGAAAUCCUGGAGCUCAACUCCAGAACUGCCCUUGAUACUGGCGACCUCGAGUCCGGGAGAGGUGAGUGGAACUGCGAGUGUAGAGGUGAAAUUCGUAGAUAUUCGCAAGAACACCAGUGGCGAAGGCGGCUCACUGGCCCGGUACUGACGCUGAGGUGCGAAAGCGUGGGGAGCAAACAGG